GAUGAACGCUGGCGGCGUGCCUAAUACAUGCAAGUCGAGCGAACAGACGAGGAGCUUGCUCCUCUGACGUUAGCGGCGGACGGGUGAGUAACACGUGGAUAACCUACCUAUAAGACUGGGAUAACUUCGGGAAACCGGAGCUAAUACCGGAUAACAUGUUGAACCGCAUGGUUUAACAGUGAAAGACGGUCUUGCUGUCACUUAUAGAUGGAUCCGCGCCGCAUUAGCUAGUUGGUAAGGUAACGGCUUACCAAGGCAACGAUGCGUAGCCGACCUGAGAGGGUGAUCGGCCACACUGGAACUGAGACACGGUCCAGACUCGUACGGGAGGCAGCAGUAGGGAAUCUUCCGCAAUGGGCGAAAGCCUGACGGAGCAACGCCGCGUGAGUGAAGAAGGUCUUCGGAUCGUAAAACUCUGUUAUUAGGGAAGAACAAAUGUGUAAGUAACUAUGCACGUCUUGACGGUACCUAAUCAGAAAGCCACGGCUAACUACGUG
rnacentral:rRNA from 1 species